rnacentral:rRNA from 1 species
UACGGGGGGGGCAAGCGUUGUUCGGAAUUACUGGGCGUAAAGGGCUCGUAGGUGGCCAACUAAGUCGGACGUGAAAUCCCUCAGCUUAACUGGGGAACUGCGUGUGAUACUGGAUGGCUUGGAUUUGGGAGAGGGAUGCGGAAUUCCAGGCGUAGCGGUGAAAUGCGUAGAUAUCUGGAGGAACACCGGUGGCGAAGGCGGCAUCCUGGACCAAUAUUGACGCUGAGGAGCGAAAGCUAGGGGAGCAAACGGG